AACAUUGCUCGCUUCGUCUCGGGUACUUCACUUAUCUUUGGAAGAAAAUAUACGAAUUUAUGCUUAAAUUUUAGAUUUUUUAUGGCUGUUUAGUGUUGAUUGCAGGAUUGUAACAUAUCCUUUAUUCCCCAUUUUCAUACCAUUUCGUAGUAUGCCAAAGUAUUUUCUUUUUUUUGGUUGUCCUUUGCUUUCUUUCUUUCUCUCCUUCUGUAGUAGUACUUCUCAUGCUACAUUUAUGCAGUUUUUAAUUGAUUCGGAUUUUUUUAUUACUUCCGAGAAAUUUUAGAAGAAUAAAAAGGAAUAUUGCGAGCAUUAACAACAGAGCGUUUGGUUUCUCUGUAUCUUUGUGUUUUCUAUGUGAUUUUAUUCAACUUGGGAUCUUGGAUAUGGUAGUUGGGUUUAACAGAUAUGUUAAUUGGGAUCUUUUUCAUGUGAUAGAAAGUUAUCACUUUAUUACAAUUGGCACCUUUCGCAAUAUUUCUAGAUCUGCCCAGUUCAAUGUGAGCAAACGCUUGAGCGUAUUUAUGUUGGUUUGAUUUGUGGGUUGUCAGUUAUUAGAAUUUCUCGACGUUGUGUAGCUUUUAGCUUUCAAAGAGUUCACAAGGUGGUGACAGAAUAUUGUGGUAACUGCAAUAUUUUGAAAUUUUUGCUUUAUUUGAUCAUUUUGAAUUCUUCCACACUAAAAUGGUUACUUAUUCAUGAAUCUUCUUUUCUGUUUCCAUUUUCUGGUGCACUGAUUGAAGUGUAGUGUACUUUCAUGAAUUUUGCAUUUCAAAGUCAUUAGUUAUUGGUCAUUUAUUGAAGUUACUCUGCAGUUUAACAGUAGGGAAGGGAUGAAAAUUUAGAAUUUUCUUAAUCUUUAUAUUGAUUUAACUAAGGAGGGAAAAGAAGAAAAAACCAGAGGAGUGUUUAAUGAAAAAAAAAAAAAUCCACUUGGACCCACCAAAUUCUUUCUCUCAAAGGUUUGGUGGGAGCUAUAGCUUUUUGAUGGUGUAGCGAACAUGUAAAAGAUAAUAGCAAAGGCAUGUUUAGUUGAAUCAGUUGAUUCUUUUGCUAUUUGGAGAUCUCUUCUUCCUUUUCUGUGAACAUGUAUGUGCUUCCUUGUUUCUAGAUUUUGCUAUGAAUUUAUAAUGCAGUUACGGCAAAUUUUUCAGGUUAGUUUGACAUGGAUUCUACA
rnacentral:misc_RNA from 1 species